rnacentral:rRNA from 1 species
UGGUAAUGCCGGAUGUUCCAGUUGAUCGCAUGGUCUUCUGGGAAAGCUUUCGCGGUAUGGGAUGGGGUCGCGUCCUAUCAGCUUGACGGCGGGGUAACGGCCCACCGUGGCUUCGACGGGUAGCCGGCCUGAGAGGGCGACCGGCCACAUUGGGACUGAGAUACGGCCCAGACUCCUACGGGAGGCAGCAGUGGGGAAUAUUGCACAAUGGGCGCAAGCCUGAUGCAGCGACGCCGCGUGAGGGAUGGAGGCCUUCGGGUUGUAAACCUCUUUUAUCGGGGAGCAAGCGUGAGUGAGUUUACCCGUUGAAUAAGCACCGGCUAACUACGUGCCAGCAGCCGCGGUAAUACGUAGGGUGCAAGCGUUAUCCGGAAUUAUUGGGCGUAAAGGGCUCGUAGGCGGUUCGUCGCGUCCGGUGUGAAAGUCCAUCGCUUAACGGUGGAUCCGCGCCGGGUACGGGCGGGCUUGAGUGCGGUAGGGGAGACUGGAAUUCCCGGUGUAACGGUGGAAUGUGUAGAUAUCGGGAAGAACACCA